rnacentral:lncRNA from 1 species
CUGGCUUCAGAAAUAAAAUUUGCCUCUAAGAGGUCUUUUACAGCUUUCUCAGCAGCCUCCGCUUUUUCGGGAGACUGCCUACGCCUACGUUGCACUACGACACUAGCAAGUGGGUCGACAGUAAGUUGAUGGCAAGCAAUGUUUGGAUCCAGCCCGGGCAUGUCGGCAGCGUGCCAUGCGAACAAGUCAGCAUUUUCUCUAAGGCAGGCUUUCAGCUGGUUCC